GUUCUCAACUAAUGAAAAAUCAUUGCAUUAUCUUGAGAGCAAUAGCAAUGAUCAUGCCAACAGUAAUUCAGACUGUGUCAUAAGUUGGGUCACACAGUCCCUAUUUUCAAACUUUGUGGAUGUCUGUCAACUGGCAGUGAAUUGUAUUCAGGAGAAAAGAAGUCUAAAAUACAUAAGAUAUUUUGCCUGCUAUGAAGCCAUUGGAGAAUCAGGUCCAGCUGUGUCCUACAGAUUUAUACCCUCA
rnacentral:lncRNA from 1 species